UCUUGUUUUGUUUUUUUUUUACUUUCCAGAGCUCACUUAUAUGGUGUUGUAAGAUCACUGAUCACCAUCACAAGUCUGCAAACUAAAAUGCAGGCUACAUUUAAGUUGAUUUAACUCAGAAUUGAAUGUAAACUCUUGUUCCUAAAAAACAACUGCACAUAUGUGGAAUGUGGACUUCCUUCCAUAGUCUUACUCUGAAGAAAAAAGAACUACAAAGAAUAAUGACCCAUGAAUUCUGGAGAGGAACGCAAGGCUGAUCCCUUUGAACUGCUGAAACCUGAUGACUUGCAAUCAAUGGUCUGUGAAACAAUAAGGUCAGCAGUGUGAAGAUUCAGAUUUUCUGCCUCUAAAUGCAGACUGAUGUGCUGGGCCACUGAGGGAUUCAGCCACGAAGUCCAUUAGAGCAUCAGAUGCAGUGAGGUCAAAUCAAUUGUCCAUACUGCAGACAAGGAUGGGCAAUAAUAAUUGACUGAAGCAAUCACUGCUGUGGGAAAACAAACGUGCUGGCCGUGUCGCUCUGAAGGUCAGGCCUGAUGACACAGUAAGCACCUGAACUCUCACUGACUCCCGGGGAGCCGCGGGUGCCCAGCGCCUCCCGGAGCUCUCUGACAGCGGCAGAUUUACGCGGCCGCUGGGGCUGGGAUGAGGAUGCUGCUUCCCACUCCCGCCUCCCGCUGCCGCCUCUGCGGAGCCCUUUAUUUCCAUUACGGUGCCGUGGCACCUCUGACUCCUGCGCUCCGCGCCGAAAUCGCACGGAAGCGGAGAGAAAAAUGCGGUUCUGUGCCAGACUGCGUGUUCCUCCUCCUCGGAGCCACUGGCCCCGACUAAUGUCACAGGGCUGCUGUGCACGCUGGGGACCCGUGCCCACCCCUGACCUGGCCGUGAGAGCUCCAGCACCGCGGCCCGGCCCUUGUAGGAAUCCUCUGCUGAAGUGGGAAGGGACAAUGAAGCUCAGAUUUAUUUACUUGUCUAUUUGUCUUUUCUAGGUUAAUCUUUUCUCUUU